UGACCCGUGUCUCCGCGGUCGAGCGCGCUCGUUCUGCUCGAAACGUCCGAGCACGAAAACGUUACGUUGGUGGUUUGUCGUAAAUUGAGUUACGUCUCGUCGUACGGCUCAAACGGUUUCGUCGUGUAUGGUACCCUGUGUGUGUGUGUAUAUGUGUGUGUCAAUGGUUCGUUAUUAACGGUACAGUGUGGCCUGGUACAUCAGAAGAUAAAUUAUGAUGGUCUGAUCGCGGUUCCAACAUGACUGUGGAUUUCGCCGACUACUUUUGGGGCGAAAAGAAUAAUGGAUUUGACGUGUUAUAUCAUAACAUGAAGCAUGGUGUAGUCGCAAGUAAGGAGUUGGCUGAGUUUUUGAAAGAACGAUCAGCCAUAGAAGAAAACAAUUACAAGCUUCUUAGCAAGGUAGCUAAGCAAGUUGGUAAUAGCAGUGGUACCCAAGGAACAUUUGCACCAGUUUGGGCUGCUCUAAGAGGUGCAGCAGAAAAACUUGCAAGUUUGCACUUGCAGAUGGCCCAAAGGGUCGCCGAACUAAUCAAAGAUGUAUCAAAAUAUGCAGAUGAAUUGCAUAAAAAACAUAAGGCUGUAAAAGAAGAAGAGUCAUCCACCUUGGAAGUUGUACAAAGUAUACAAAGCAUUACCGUGACUUUGCACAAAGCGAAAGAUAUGUGUAUGCAAAAGGGUCUGGAAUUGGAAAAGUUGAGGAAAGACAAUGCCAGCCAGAAAGAAUUAGAAAAAGCAGAAAUAAAAUUUAAAAAGGCACAGGAUGAUUAUAAAACUUUGGUAGACAAAUACAUGGUCAUAAGAAACGAUUUUCAAACCAAAAUGACUCAAGCAUGCAGGCGGUUCCAAGAUGUAGAGGAGACUCACUUGAAACAUAUGAAGGAGUUUUUAAAUAUUUACGCAGAUGUCUUGCAAACAAAUCAUGAACAAGUUGGUCAGGUCCAUAUCGAUUUUAAACGUCAAUGUCUGGACAUGACUGUGGACAAGUUACUAGAACAGUUUGUUCAAAGCAAGUAUACAGGUUUCGAGAAGCCAGGUAUGAUCGAAUAUGAAGAAGUCAUGACAAAUUUGGCAGACCUGACCAGUCAUUCUCAAUCGGAUAGCACGGUUGAAACACCCAAGGAAACAUCAAAAGGAGCUAAUGGAGAAACAGGAGUUGCUGGUAACACUCACAGUUCAAAAAAAGAUCAGGGAUUAAAGGGGGAGGGUAAUCAGGUGGAUGAGGAAAAGGGGAGGGUACAAGAAAAAGAAAACGAAAGACUGAAUGAAAGGGAUAGAGAACUGUCACAUGCACAAGCCACCAAGGCUUCCCGCCGUACUACCUCGCUACUCAACCUGUUCAUGUCCAACUCCCAGGACAAACAGAAGCAAGCAGGGUCUGGUUCGGCACCUGCAACUCCUCAGGGGAACAACCUGCCUCCUGCUGUUCCACCUCCCAGCAUCUCCAGGAACCCUCUCAGAGGAUCUAAAUUGGUAACGCGUAUUAUGGUUCCUCCACUCUGCACUCUUUUAGAUCAGCAGUGGUUUCUUCGCAGCAGGAGAGAAAAGCGCAAGGAAAAGAAGGCAAAAAAGAAGAAGGAUGUCGUGGAAACGAACAGCAACAAAGAAGAAAAGUCUGACCUGGAGGACAAGGAGGACAGCAGAAAGUCCGAAACACCGACACCGGAAGUGGACGAAGACGGUUUUUGUAUCCGACCAAAAUCGGAUCCGUGGGAGAACGAGAAGGGAUUUUAUUCCAGCUCGGAUACCGAUUCCGAAGACGAGAGGGAGAGAAAGAUCAGGGUGGAAAUAAAGCCUCUCAGCAAUGGCGGAGCACCGAUGAGUGCCAGCGUAGACGAGCUAAGGGCAACGGUGGAGAAUUUAUCGUUAUCGCCUGCACCCACGGGACGCAGAGGAUCGAACACCGACUCUGAUCACCACAUGAAAAGGUCUCAGUCAGUGUCACAGCAAUUAGGAGGUAAGCCAAGCUCAGAUUUACUUGGCCUAAACUUGUUCAAUCCCAGCAGUACACCUUCGAGCGCCUCGACGCCGACUGGUAGUCAUCCGUACGCGCCAUUGCAAAGUCCUCCGCCACUGUCUUCGUCACCGACGCCUCAACCACAGCCGCCACAAUCCGCACCACCUACACACCCUCACUCGCGGUUCCCUGAUGGAGACUUGUUCUCGGAAGUAGGAGACAUCACUCCGGCCUUACCCCCAAAGCAAUCCGCAUCUUCCACUCCGACAGGAUCUAUUAUCAUUCCUAGACCGCCGUCCCGACGAGGUGAAGGCCCCUCUCCAAGGGGUAGGUCGUCGCCAGCGACGAUAUCGAGAGCGGAUAGCGUGGCCAGUUUGGAAUUUCGCACCGCUGGCGUGGGGGUCGGUUCUUCCAGAGGUCCUUCUCCGCUGACGAUCGGCCUCGCGGAUACGAUUCCUCUGGCGGUUGCCUUCCAUGAAAUAGUACACUCUUACUUUAGGGGUACCGACGAGACUCGAUGUCAGGUGAAGCUCAGCGGGGACAUGAUGUUAUCGUUUCCCGCCGGUAUCGUUGCUGUGCUAGCGAACAAUCCGAGUCCAGCAAAGUUAACGUUUCGAGUGAGAAACAGCAGCAGACUGGAAAAAUUGUUUCCUAAUAAUCAGCUCGUCAGCAUGGAUGCCACGCAGACAACCGUCGAAAGUACAAUUUUCGAAUUCAACAUGAGUGCCUUAACUACAUUGUUACGUAAACAGGCUGAACAAAAUCCCACAGCUUCCUAUUUUAACGUCGACAUACUCAAGUAUCAAAUCAAGUGUAAGGAGGGCGCGGGCUCUUGUCCUUUCCAGUUAGUGGCGUAUUGGAAGUGCGAGACAACACACACCGACCUUAGGAUCGAUUAUAAAUACAACAGUCGCGCCAUGGCUUCCCCGAGCCCUCUGCUAAAUCUCCACGUGGCAGCGCCCAUAGACGGUGGUUUCAAAUCGUUGAACAGUAAGCCACAGGCUCAGUGGUUAGCGGAUACGAAUCGAGUAUUAUGGAAGUUCACAGAGUUGUCUCAACAUAGCGAGGGUAACGGCGUGGGCUCUUUGAAAGCGCGAGUCGAGCUCGCACAUGGGCCAGGGAAUCAAGGAACGAUAUUUACUCAAUUCAAUUGCGAGGGGACCACAUUGUCCGGAGUUGAAUUCGAACUUCUGGGCCCAGGCUAUAGGUUAAGUUUAGUAAAGCGCAGAUUUGUAUCAGGAAAGUACAUAUGCGACGGAGAUUCCGAUUCAAGAAGCAGAUACGCCGCACCGCCAUCCAAUGUGGAUUGACGACUUCCAGAAUGGGCGCCUCAAUGGGAGAGUCUGCCCAUUUAAUAUUGUAUGGUUCAUCGAUCUAGAAAGCAAAGAUGCAACGUUGUUCUUUGGUAAAUAUACACGCGGUAACGUUUCACGGAAAUGAGAGAUACUGACACGAUUAUUAUGGAGUGGUUCCUGGAAGACGAAAAAAAAAAAAAUCGACUGAGCUCUCCUGUGAUACGCAGAUGUCACUAUAAUUUCGUAAUAAAUGUUUGUAACGAAACAUAAUAAUGUUAAUGAUCGCGUUCACUUUUAUCCCGACUGAUCCUGUAACGAUCACGGCAAGGAAAGUGGCACAACCAUCAUGGUUUUUAUUGACGUUAAUGACUCGUUAAUUCAUCGAGCGUGCGUUUUUUAUUCCUAUGCGUACAAUGCGUCCAACAGAGGAUAUAAAGGAAUUUAUGCGAUUCGCUUUUUACAUGUACGAUUGCAAGGUACGACGAAAAUUCUACAUUUAACGAAAAACACACACGCAUGUACGUCAGGGCUAUCGAUUUCCAUCGGGUACCCGAGAUACCUUAGCGACCUGGUACCUACGAAAAUUGCACAGGUACGCUUACGUAUACUUCGGAUUCGCUAUACGAAAUACAUUUUAUAAUUAUGAGAUUUAUCGUUUUUAUAAUGGUGAACAAUUUAAAAUAACUAAUCAUAAAUCAUCAUCGAUUUCAUACCCGUUUAGCAUCUGUGUUCAACUUUAUCCGAUUCUACUCGGACCAUAUCUGAUAUCGCGUGGUAACAUCGAACAUAGCGUACGCGUACGCUUUUUAUUUCUCUAGGUAUCUCGUGGUACCCAGAUAUUUUGGGUAUCGAUAGCGCUACUAUACACAUUCACGCAACACACAAUCUGAGAAUACGCGUAUCGUCGCGAUUAUGCAUAAGGGCAGUGUGUACAGGGCUUGAAAUCACACGAGAGACGCAUCGAAGAGCGGAGAUCGCAAUGCAACUGCAUAUAUACAUAUGACUCUUAUACAUAGUAUAAAUACGACGAGGAGAAUAAAUAAAUUACAAUAUACAUGUUACACGAUACAUAGGAUGGUUAUGUAAGCCUGUUGACAUGUAAUGUCUAUGUUCUAAUAAAGAUUAGGAUAUUUUAUAUAAAUAAA